rnacentral:rRNA from 1 species
GGGGGGAAUAUUGGACAAUGGGCGCAAGCCUGAUCCAGCAACGCCGCGUGAGGGAUGACGGCCUUCGGGUUGUAAACCUCUUUCAGCAGGGACGAAGCGAAAGUGACGGUACCUGCAGAAGAAGGACCGGCCAACUACGUGCCAGCAGCCGCGGUAAUACGUAGGGUCCGAGCGUUGUCCGGAAUUAUUGGGCGUAAAGGGCUCGUAGGCGGUCUGUCGCGUCGGGAAGGAAAACUCAGGGCUCAACCCUGAGCGUGCUUCCGAUACGGGCAGAGUAGAGGUAUGCAGGGGAGAACGGAAUUCCUGGUGUAGCGGUGGAAUGCGCAGAUAUCAGGAGGAACAGCGGUGGCGAAGGCGGUUCUGUGGGCAUUACCUGACGCUGGGGAGCGAAAGCAUGGGGAGCGAACAGGAUUAGAUACCCUGGUAGUCC